rnacentral:rRNA from 1 species
UACGAAGGGUGCAAGCGUUACUCGGAAUCACUGGGCGUAAAGCGCACGUAGGCGGAUAUUUAAGUCGGUGGUGAAAUCCUGGAGCUCAACUCCAGAACUGCCUCCGAUACUGAAUGUCUUCGAGUCCGGGAGAGGUGAGUGGAACUGCGAGUGUAGAGGUGAAAUUCGUAGAUAUUCGCAAGAACACCAGUGGCGAAGGCGGCUCACUGGCCCGGUACUGACGCUGAGGUGCGAAAGCGUGGGGAGCAAACAGG